rnacentral:rRNA from 1 species
GUCCACGCCCUAAACGAUGUCAACUAGGUGUCGGGAGCGCAAGUUCUUGGUACCGCAGCUAACGCGUGAAGUUGACCGCCUGGGGAGUACGGUCGCAAGAUUAAAACUCAAAGGAAUUGACGGGGACCCGCACAAGCGGUGGAUGAUGUGGAUUAAUUCGAUGCAACGCGAACAACCUUACCUACCCUUGACAUGUCCAGAAGGCUGCUGAAAGGUGGCUGUGCCCGCAAGGGAAUUGGAACACAGGUGCUGCAUGGCUGUCGU